rnacentral:rRNA from 1 species
GCCUUGGUAGCGCAGCUAACGCGUGAAGUUGACCGCCUGGGGAGUACGGCCGCAAGAUUAAAACUCAAAGGAAUUGACGGGGACCCGCACAAGCGGUGGAUGAUGUGGAUUAAUUCGAUGCAACGCGAAAAACCUUACCUACCCUUGACAUGUCUGGAAUGCCGAAGAGAUUUGGCAGUGCUCGCAAGAGAACCGGAACACAGGUGCUGCAUGGCUGUCGUCAGCUCGUGUCGUGAGAUGUUGGGUUGAGUCCCGCAACGAGCGCAACCCUUGUCAUUAGUUGCUACGAAAGGGCACUCUAAUGAGACUGCCGGUGACAAACCGGAGGAAGGUGGGGAUGACGUCAAGUCCUCAUGGCCCUUAUGGGUAGGGCUUCACACGUCAUACAAUGGUCGGGACAGAGGGUCGCCAACCCGCGAGGGGGAGCCAAUCCCAGAAACCCGAUCGUAGUCCGGAUCGCAGUCUGCAACUCGACUGCGUGAAGUCGGAAUCGCUAGUAAUCGCGGAUCAGCAUGUCGCGGUGAAUACGUUCCCGGGUCUUGUACACACCGCCCGUCACACCAUGGGAGUGGGUUUUACCAGAAGUAGUUAGCCUAACCGCAAGGGGGGCGAUUACCACGGUAGGAUUCA